rnacentral:rRNA from 1 species
AGCUCCAAUAGCGUAUAUUAUUGAUGUUGCAGUUGAAACGUUCGUAGUCGAAUUUUGUGUGCUUGGGUAAUAUAGCAACUAUGUUGCAAUAUUAUUUUCAGUACAUGUAGUGUAAAGAGGUACACAUUUAUGUGGACUCCUUUUUGCAUUUUACUUUGAGUGAAUCGGCGUGUUUCAUGCAGGCUUGUGCCUUGAACGAUUUACCAUAGCAUAAUUAUAGUAUGGAAUUGUCUUUUUGCUUGUUCAUGGACAUUUCCGAUACAGAUAAGAACGGUUGAGGGCAUUCGUAUUCAACUGCCAGAGGUGAAAUUCUUUGAUUAGUUGAGGACGAUCUACGGCGAAAGCAUCUGCCAUGGACGUAUCUG